rnacentral:rRNA from 1 species
AUUGAACGCUGGCGGAAUGCUUUACACAUGCAAGUCGAGCGGCAGCGCGGGGGCAACCCUGGCGGCGAGCGGCGAACGGGUGAGUAACAUAUCGGAACGUACCCCGUCGUGGGGGAUAACACAGCGAAAGCUGUGCUAAUACCGCAUACGACCUGAGGGUGAAAGCGGGGGAUCGCAAGACCUCGCGCGAUGGGAGCGGCCGAUAUCGGAUUAGCUUGUUGGUGAGGUAAAGGCUCACCAAGGCGACGAUCCGUAGCUGGUCUGAGAGGACGACCAGCCACACUGGAACUGAGACACGGUCCAGACUCCUACGGGAGGCAGCAGUGGGGGAAUUUUUGGACAAUGGGGGCAACCCUGAUCCAGCCAUUCCGCGUGAGUGAAGAAGGCCUUCGGUUGUAAG